GUGCUUGCUUCAGUAGCACAUAAACUAAAUUUGCAACAAUACAGAGAUUAGCAUGGCCCUGUGCAAGGAUGACAUGCAAAUUUGUGAAGCAUUCCAUAUUUAA
ensembl:snRNA U6 U6 spliceosomal RNA